AUCUAUACAAUUAUAGAUAAACACCUACUCUCAAAAAUGUUGCCUUCGUAAGACCGAUCGACACGAUUUAAUCAAGCAUUCAGCACAAUUGAGAAGCGUGUGUCUUCUAAGGAGUCAGAAGAUACAAACAAAAAAAUGCAAGUGCAUCUUCGUGUGACUAUGCAGAAACAUGUCAACAUCGAAAUCACACUACUAUGACCAGCAGAUUCGCGACCACGUUCAACGACCGAAGAAUGCUGAAAUUUCGGAUAAAACCAACACAAGCCGUAAGACAAAUAUUGAAAUCAAUUCAAUUUAUUUUAUAAAAUAUAUAAUUUCAUCCUUCCAUUCUAAAUAAUCUUUUAAUUCUAUACAUGUGUUCACCUUUCCUAUCUGGUUAAUCCGUUUUCAAUCGAAAUUGAAGAGUGUUCCUCUCUUAGAAUUAGUUAAUUUUGUUUAGUUAAAUUUAGCAAAAUAUUACCUCCUGUUCUUUCCUACUUCUCGGUAUUACCUCCAAACCUAUCUAAAAGUGGAACGAAACGAAUAAAAAAACAAGACAACAAGCAUGUCGACUAUCAGAAUGUGUAUACUAUCUUGAUUCCC